ensembl:lncRNA
CGCUGGGGCCCGGUGUCUGCCGUGUGCGGGGAGCCCCGGGGCGGGCUGCAAACUCGUGCACACCGAGAGCGGCUCUUCCGCCCUCUGGGCCACCCCGGAACGGCCCCCGGUUUGCUAUAACGCCGGUGUAACGCGGCACAGUCACCGUUAAUAGGUGCAGUGUUAAUAGGUGCAGUGUUUUCUCCGCAUUUGAACUCACAGCCGAAUUGCUCCUGGGCCGCAGAACCCGAAAUCACUUCUGUAUCUCGUGACACAGGUUUCUAACAGGGUGAUUCUUGAGCUCUCCGAUAGUGAGAAAGGAUAGCAGGGUUUGCGAUCACCCUUCGCUUUGGGUGACGUGAAAUACAGCAGAGCAGAAAGUUCCGCCGCAGCUUUGGAGGCCCCCGGUCACGACGAGGCGCCUCAGCGCUCUCCCAUGGCCCCUCUCAUCUCUCCCUUCAGUUCCUCCCCUCUGCUCCGAGAACUUCCAUCACACCACCUGUGGAUAAAGUCAUGCCGUACCUUCAGCGUGCUCCGUUUCACCGUCUGCAAGCACACGUUCACUUUGCACAAAUACAGUCUGAUGUCUUCCACAGUCAACAGUAAUACUAUGCAGCCAUUUACCCACAAUCAAAGUUCAAACCCUCUGACUCCAGCUGAGCUUCAUAUUUUCGUAUGUCGUUGAAAUAGCAGACCGGGGGUUACCCUCCUUUUGGCUCUGUACUAACAAGCAAUUACAGAAAGCAUCUGUAAUUUACAUAGGCAUUAACAAACGUUUUCAGAAAUUUCCUCUUUAGCACGUCAUUUUCCUGGGUGGAUUUCUAAUGCAGAAAUGAAGGCCUGCAGAAAUACCCCAUGUCUCAGGGAAAGUCACGCUAGUAGCACUUUGACGGGAUGGUGCAUCAGCAUAUGAUACCACUAUUUUCGUAUUGGCACAGCAAUUGCAGUGUGCAGCCACAGAGACUGAGAAUUCAGGCUCCUGAGAUCUCUGGUUAUGCAAUGGUAUAAUACAACAUAUGUGGGUGGGUGUAAGCCUGAACCCAAAACAGCAUGGUUACUGAAGAUACUGCAUCGCUGGUGCUCGUACUUCUGUUCCCUCGUGGGUUUGGUCGCUAUGUGUUGAAUAUUCUGCUGUAGACAAAGCAAAAAGAUAUUUUCUCUAAUAUAUCUGAAAUUAUCU